rnacentral:rRNA from 1 species
GAUGAACGCUGGCGGCGUGCCUAAUACAUGCAAGUCGAGCGAACGGACGAGCAGCUUGCUUCUCUGAUGUUAGCGGCGGACGGGUGAGUAACACGUGGAUAACCGACCUAUAAGACUGGGAUAACUUCGGGAAACCGGUGCUAAUACCGGAUAAUAUUUUGAACCGCAUGGUUCAAUAUAGAAAGACGGUCUUGCUGUCACUUAUAGAUGGAUCCGCGCUGCAUUAGCUAGUUGGUAAGGUAAAGAUUUACCAAGGCAACGAUGCAUAGCCGCACUGAGAGGGUGAUCGGUCACAGUGGAGCUAGGACGCGGUCCAGACUCCGGAGGGAGGCAGCGGUAGGGAAUCUUCCGCAGAGAGCGAAAGCCUAACGGAGCAACGCCGCGUGAGUGAGGAAGGUCUUCGGAGCGUGAAACUCUGUGAUUAGAGAAGAACAUAUGUGUAAGUAACUGUGCACAUCAUGACGUUACCUAAUCAGAAAGCCACGGCUAACUACGUG